UACAGAGGGUGCAAGCGUUAAUCGGAAUACUGGCGUAAAGCGUGCGCAGGCGGUGAUGUAAGACAGAUGUGAAAACCCGGGGCUCAACCCCGGGCCUGCAUUCGAUACGGGCAGACUAGAGUUCGGUAGGGGAGUCUGGAAUUCCUGGUGUAGCGGUGAAAUGCGCAGAUAUCGUAAGGAAGACCAGUGGCGAAGGCGGGUCUCUGGACAGUUCCUGACGCUGAGGCACGAAGGCCAGGGGAGCAAACGGG
rnacentral:rRNA from 1 species